GGCGGGGGCGCGGCCGCAUAAAGGGCCCCGCGCAGGGCCCGGCCCCGCAUCGGCCCCGCACCGCCGCACGGAACGGACCGGACCGGAACGGAGCGGCCUGGCCUGGCCUGCAGUUCAAGAUGUCUAAAAAAAUCCAUGGAGGCUCCGUUGUGGAGAUGCAAGGAGAUGAAAUGACACGGGUCAUCUGGGAACUGAUUAAAGAAAAGCUGAUUUUUCCUUAUGUAGAUCUGGAUUUGCACAGCUAUGAUUUGGGCAUUGAGCAUCGUGAUGCUACAAGUGAUAAAGUAACUAUGGAAGCUGCUGAAGCCAUAAAGAAAUACAACGUUGGCAUAAAGUGUGCAACCAUCACUCCUGAUGAGAAGAGAGUGGAGGAGUUCAAGUUGAAGCAGAUGUGGAAGUCUCCCAAUGGCACAAUUAGAAACAUCCUAGGUGGCACUGUCUUCAGAGAGGCUAUUAUCUGCAAGAACAUUCCCCGGCUGGUGUCUGGAUGGGUGAAACCCAUUGUCAUCGGCCGUCACGCUUAUGGAGAUCAAUACAGAGCAACCGAUUUUGUGGUACCUGGGCCUGGAAAAGUAGAGAUGACCUACACUCCCACAGAUGGAGGCAAACCAGUCACAUAUCUGGUCCAUAAUUUUGAAAGUUGUGGUGGUGUAGCCAUGGGAAUGUACAAUCUUGACCAGUCUAUCAAGGAUUUUGCCCACAGUUCCUUCCAAAUGGCACUGUCUAAAGGCUGGCCCCUCUACAUGAGCACCAAAAACACCAUUCUGAAGAGAUACGAUGGCCGCUUCAAAGACAUCUUCCAAGACAUCUAUGACAGAGAAUACAAGUCCGAGUUUGAAGCCAAAAAGAUCUGGUAUGAGCACAGGCUCAUUGAUGACAUGGUUGCUCAGGCCCUGAAAUCUGAAGGAGGUUUUGUCUGGGCCUGCAAGAACUAUGAUGGGGAUGUGCAGUCUGACUCUGUUGCACAAGGCUAUGGCUCUCUGGGGAUGAUGACCAGUGUGCUGAUCUGCCCUGAUGGCAAGACUGUUGAAGCAGAAGCUGCUCACGGGACAGUUACUCGUCACUACCGCAUGCACCAGAAAGGCCAGGAAACCUCCACUAACCCCAUUGCCUCCAUCUUCGCAUGGACAAGAGGCCUCGCUCACAGAGCUAAGCUGGACAACAACACUAGCCUCGGGAACUUUGCAGCUGCCCUGGAAGAAGUUUGCAUUGAGACCAUUGAAUCUGGUUUCAUGACAAAGGACCUUGCUGCCUGCAUCAAAGGUCUGCCUAAUGUCACACGCUCUGAUUACCUGAACACCUUUGAGUUCAUGGACAAGCUUGCUGAAAACUUGAAGCAGAAGCUGGCCUCUAUGCCCAAAGCUUAAGGCAUGGGUUACACUCAAGCUCCCCUAACAAAAUGUCUCCCACUUACAUCAAAGUGUAAGUGGCAUUGUCUCAAGCUUUGUUGUGCUUCUUUUAGGCUGUUGUUCAACUUUGGCCAUCUGGUAUUAUCACACUGAUCAUCACGUGUUAUCACACUGGCACUUCCUAUCAGAAUAAUUUUUUCUCUUGAUUUUUUGUCUGAUCACAUUUGAGUCCUCUUGCAAAGCACAGGCACUGGAGGUCUCUUUCCUCAAGAAAAGUGAAUUCUGUAGACUGGAAUCACCUGAGGCAACUUCAUGACUUGAGAAGGUAUGAACUGGGGGUUUUAGCAAGCUCUCCAUCCUUUGCAUCUCAAAGAUAGGUCCCUUCUUAACCUGUUGCAUUAAGUCAACAUUUUCAAGACUCUGCAGCUGUGCUGGAUUCACCUCAUAUGUACUUCCAAAGUCUUGGACUCCAUCAGAAGAGUGGGAACGGUGCUGUCCACAGUCUCUACUCCUCCUGUCAAAAGCCCCCUCAAAUGCCUUCUGCCCCAUCUCACAGACUUUGGUCUCACUGGAACAUGUUGCAACUUUUGGCUGAAGAAGCUUCUCUGCAUUUUGAGCACACUCUUCACCUUGAGAUCUAUCAGGACUACUUUCUGCAUUGUUUGUUUUUGGCAAACUUUCUGCAGGUGUUUUCUUUUUUCCUGUUCUUGCUUUUUUAACAGUCUUUUUCUUUCCAGUUUUACACUUACCUUUGCUUUUAACCUUUACAGGAACAAACUCAGGGACUUGGCUAUAGUUAGGGUCCGUUUCAACACCACACCCCAUUUCUUUUGUCUGUGGCUGCUCACAAAAGAUCUCUUUACCCACAGACUUGCUAGGAGAAAUAACAGCAGUUUGAGCAGGAGAAGCCAGGGGGCUGGGAGGUGGCAGCUGUUGCUGUGUGUUGUUCUUGCUGGAGCUGCUGUUGUCCUGUGCAGUACUACCCCGAGCUGCCUGAGUGGAACUGACAGGUGUGACGAUAUCCAGAGUGGAAGAUGGAGUGCUUGUAGCAAACAGGGUGGAGCGCUUUCUCCUCUGAGUAACACGCCCUUGUGAGAGACAAUCAAAUAAAUGUUUUGCCAUCUCAUCAGCCUCAUAUGAAAGAGUAUGACUUUCCAAUCCAAGCAUUGGCAAAUUGUUGGGAUUUUGUUCAGUGCUGCACAAGACCUCUGUUGGAAAGAAAAAAUUCACGUUUAAGGCUGAGAAAUGCAGCAGGCAAAUGCUAUCUUGCCCCAUACCAGUACAAACUUUGCUCCAUACGCUGACACAAAUUCAGAGCAUAGGAAAAGCAUGAUUUUGAGACAGGGACUCCCCCAGCUUACUGUGUACCAGAUUUGCUUAGCUGGCUUCUCUUUGAACAAAAGGGCAGCCCAAAUCAAGAUGCCCAACCCAGCUGUAAUAUUAGGAACACUUAUGCUCUGUACAAGAGUUAUUAUUUAUAUGGCAAAUCCACAAGAAACAGUGGCACACCUAGCCAGAUUCUGCACUUUCAGACAUCUCCAAAAGUCUUAUGUAAACUCAGUCCCUAUUACUCAAAAAGCCUGAUUUGUGAGUUUGAUCUACUGCAAACACACCACAUAUCCCUCUGAAGACUUUGAUUCUGGGAUAGACAUAACUCCAGCAAUAACAGCCCCAGUGGAGCAUGUAGUAAAUACCAGUCAUUAGGAGCUACUGGAGUUGUGGUUGAGAAUUAACUGGAGCUAUGGCAGUCAUGCCUUUCUGGAUACAGACACAAAGUCAUACCAGAAGAACAGAACGAGAUGCAAAUUUACCUCCAAAGAUGUGAGAGUCAUGAAAAGCCCCCUCUGUUGCCAUUGCUUCAGUCACCUUUUUGCCAUUAUCUUCCUGGUGGAACUGAGGCUUCUCAUUGUGCUGUGGUGGCAAAGUAUCUUUGGAGGCAACAGGCACAAUUUUCAGGGCCUCAUUAGAGGCAGGUCUCUGAAGUUCCCCUGCAUUAGAAACAGGUUUCUGAAGUUCUCCUGAGGAUGUCUGUACUGCUGUGGAGCUGCCAUCUUGCUGCUCUGCAUCAUGCAGCUUGGAAAUGGGCACUCUCAUUGGUAUCUGUGUAACCCUAGUGAGAAGGAGGAGCAGCAAUGGAUCAUGUUUCUCAUAUACAACAGGCCAGAAUCCAGCAGACUUAACUACAGGCCACAUGUGGGCACCUCCAAACACUGCCCUGUCUUCAAAGGGGAGACUACACAGAGAAGAAACAGGACUUCAAAUAUACUUUAAGAGAUCAUGCUCUGACCAUCUUUCCAGAAAGCUUACAUCAUACAAGCAGGUGACUAUUAAGCAUUUUUAUGUAACACACAUCAAAGUAGCCAGCUAUGGCACUCGCUCAAGCAAAUCUUGCUGUAUUCACCAGCUACAAAGAGAAAACUGCCUAAAAGGAACACAGUCUCAAAGAAAGGAGGUAAAAAGACCGGCUUUUGCACAGACUCAGCAUUAGGACAAACCAGAAAAGGAGUGGCAAUAAAAAGACAAUAAAGGAAAGCAUCAAGCAGCGGUGGUUCAGAGAAGCUAUCUCAUAUGAAACUGGCAACUAGGCACACACAUAGUGUGUUUAGCAUACAGACAUUCAGGACAAGCUUGGUGGUAUCAUUUCAAAGCCCACCUCAGAAGCUGACCAUCUACAAUAUCAUCAACCCAGCUAUGUUCAGUCAUGAUGCUCUUCUGGCCACUGGACAAUGAUGCAGAAUUUGUAUGGAACUGGAAAGAAGAAAAACAGGAGAGUGAUUUAAAGUUCUUGAAAUCCCUCAUGCAGCCUCCUGCACAGAAACAGUAGAAGCUCAGUUUCUCUAGAAAGUAUGUAAAGUAUUGCCAGCAACCCUCUCACGUUACAGAAUAAAUUAUGGAAUAAAUUGCA